rnacentral:rRNA from 1 species
AAUCAACGCUGGCGGCGUGCCUAACACAUGCAAGUCGAACGCGAAAGGGGAGCAAUCCCUGAGUAGAGUGGCAAACGGGUGAGUAACACGUGGGUGACCUGCCUUCGAGUGGGGGAUAACGUCCCGAAAGGGACGCUAAUACCGCAUGACAUCCUGCCCUUGGAAGGGCGGAGAUCAAAGCCGGGGAUCGCAAGACCUGGCGCUUGAAGAGGGGCCCGCGCCUGAUUAGCUAGNGGUAGGGUAACGGCUUACCAAGGCCACGAUCAGUAUCCGGCCUGAGAGGGCGGACGGACACACUGGGACUGAGACACGGCCCAGACUCCUACGGGAGGCAGCAGUGGGGAAUCUUGCGCAAUGGGCGAAAGCCUGACGCAGCGACGCCGCGU